rnacentral:lncRNA from 13 species
GCAUUUUUUAAAACUUCUACGAUUUUUUUUUCAUUGAGAUACUUAACUUUUCGUGAGAUGCGAGAAAACCAUAAACGUUCUCGAACGGUGGUAUAUGUCACAUAUUUUUUCGAUCGUGGAUUAAUAUUAGCAUCAAUUAUAGCCCUUGUAACGUCCAGCCAGUAAGAUAUGAGAUGAGAUGAUCAAAAGAUCGGAUUGGCUUAUUAUACAGACACGAUCAAACGAGACGAUGCACUAUUUGCGCUUCAAUCGGGGCGAGUGUUUUGCACCGCUCGUGAAAAAAAAAAGGAGGUGGAAGAACCUGUCAUACCACUCGAGCCCGGAAAGGAAAAAGAAAAGCACACAGCCGAUGUCGUUACCGAACGGAAAUGAGGAACGAUUCGAGAAUGGUCUGGCCAACGCGCUGCAGAAUAUGUAUGUCUAACGAGAAGGAGGGGACCCCGAUGAUUGCGUAGGUCCGAUGAUGGAUCGUGCAUGCCACCACCGGCGAUUACAUGCAAAAGAGGUUCUCAUAAUGAUAUCGAUAACGACGUCAAAUAUGCGACUAAAAAGCUACGAGAACACGUCCUCCAUGGACGAGACGGAGGACUAGCUCCUGAGAUUACACUCAUCGGAAUUGAUUCUCUCGAGAAGUUAUACGGCAAAUGGAAGUGAACCACGGCAUAGAAUUAUUCUGGGCCACCUACCGCUUAGCGUAACAAUAUUGACAGCGAUCGACAGCAAGAAAAGAAGGCGCGAUGGCUGACGAUUGCAUUCGCCAUCCACUAUGAUUUUCUCCCACUACAAUCGCUUUCUGUCCUCCUACUCUGAUGCCAGUUGGGCCACCUCUUCCUGAAAAGUGUACCAUCAUCGACCAUUGGGUGCAACUGAAAUCAAGGCUACCGAUUGGUCGGCCUCUAACGCUUGCCUAGGAAUGCUGCGACCUCAUGCAACGAAUGCAACGCGCGACAUACGUGUAGAGAUGCAGAUUAACGUAAUCUCCGUGAGUCGUACGUUAUCGGGACGAGAUCGGCGACGCCUUCGAAUUGCUCCACAGCAGAAGGAUUUAUGUUAAUUCUUAAGUAACCUUCGCUGAAAUUAACCGUUUUGCGUAAUUCUUAAAGAUCCUUCCCCGAUCGAGAGGGAGCCUUCAAUCGCAAUCGAUUUUUUGUUCAGAUCUUAGAAACAAACACGAUAUGUUUACAUUAAAAUUCAUGUCUAUCUUUAUUAUUCCAAUAAGAUAAACGUUACGAACCAAUCAAUCGUUUUCACUUAAAACGUUCACAUGCGUUCACAGUAUUAAAGAAACAAAAGAAAUGUCAGUGUUAUCGUUUCGCAGCAGCUUGAAAUUCCAUUAAAUUCAAUUAAUCCAUUUCUGCAUCUUUAAAUAUCGUGCAAAGCACAAUGUUUUUGUGAAGUACAAAUUAAUUUUUAGAAAAAAAAUAUAUAACGUGUGAAAAGCGUUUAAAAAUAUUGUCUAUUUAAAUAUUUUGCUUUCUUCGAUGUUAAAUUGAAUCGUAACAUAAAUUGGACAUGACAGAAGAUUUCUAUCGUAACUAAAUCAAAGUAAUCUAACUAAACUGCACUAUGUAGUGUACAGAUAUUACACUAAUAUCCCUGUAAGAAUGAAUUUUAGGAGUAACGCCUCGUUCGGGCAUCAUGAAAUAAUAUUACGUCAUUCCCACGAGAUUAUUAGAUAGAUCUGUUAAACGGUGUCGCUUUUAUUACAAUCCAGCCGAAGUUAUUCGAGAUAUGAGGAAGCGUUGGAGUCUGAGCCGACGGGGACGAUAGGAAUAAGCGGUUGAUGAAGAGAAAGGUGGAGGGCCGUUAAAGCUACGGGGAGAAAGAACGAGUACGAGACAACUGCGAAAAAGACCGGCAAGUGGAAUGUCGGUUAAUUUGUAGCCAAGUCUAGUCCACGCCAUAAUCUGCGCAUGUAUCAUACUCUUUUAUAUGUGCCGAGACACACGUUGCCGCGAUCAGUAUGUCGCGUGCGUGCGUGCCGAUGUGCACUGCAGAGCGCGAAAGUCGACUUACUAUUUGACGGCAUCUUCCUCCAAUUUACCUUACAGGAUAAAAAUAUCCUAUAGACGUCAUUUCUAAAUUUUAUUUUCUAUAUCCCUUAAAAAAAGAAACUGAUAAAGUUUCUUUCAAUAAAUUGAUUACUACAUCGGUAAUUGAUGAUAUUUCAUCAGAUAAUUGAAUAGUGAUCAUCAGUUACCGGUAUAGUAAUUAGUUUACCGAAACACUCAUCAGUUCUUUUUUUUUCAAGGGAGCUUUUAUAUUAUCGAAUAAUGACACGUACGUGUGUUCUUCAAUUCGGAGCACAUUUUGCACUUUUCAAAAUUUUCAAAAUUUUUGUCACAUUCAUGCUGAACUUUUGAUUAAACAGAAAGUAAUAAAUAAAAUUUUACCGUACCGACUUGUCUCAAUCUUCAACAAUCGCAAAAACCUAAUCCUAUUUAUAAAAUGUAUUCGAAUAUAGAAAAACAUGCUAGAAAAUCAUUAUCUAUACCACCGUGAAAAUAAAUUAUGUUGAUUGUGCUCCUAAUUAUAUAUUAUUAGAAGACAUUGUUUUCUACAGUAUGAAUCUCGUAGGUUAGCGCUCGUAUAUUCGAGAAGUUGUACCCGAAGUUGGACGCGGCGAUCGAAGAAGUUGAGAAAAUCUUAUUGAGGAAUCGUCGAAUCCCAAAGUGACGACUAUCGACACGGAAUUGAUAAAAAGACAUUUUGAGCAGCGUAACUGGGCAUCAAAGUGGAGUCUUCAUGCAUCUUGUAUUAUUCGACUGUUACAACCAACAAUAUGGGAAGGCCUUGCCUCACAAUUGAUAAAAAAAAUGAUUGACAAUUAUUGGCAAAUAAAUAUUUCAGUAAUGACAUUUAUGUUGUGGUUAUUGAUCGAUCGUUAAAAUUGAUGGAAGAAAUAGAUAAUAUCCACUAUUCGACUACGGACUAUUCGAUAAAGAGAAAAGAAAUCAAUGUUGCAUUCCACUAAGCAACUUAUGUGACCAAGUCUCCAAGCGAAAGCUACAACAAGCUUUUACCGUACCGGUAUUCAGAAUAUCGGUACACAAGUCGUGUCUUAGCUAUGGCAGAAAACCGCGGAAUGUACGAGAUCAUCGAGACGUGAUGUGAGAACAAAAAGUGCUUGAAAAACGUUUACUUGAUUACACACGUAAAACACUGCGGAAUACUAACAGGACGGGACUCACAAUCCCGUAAUACUUUAUCGUCCCAAGAUAAAACGAUUCUACGUGAAACCGAACGGAGGGUUUUCUUCUUACUCGACACUCUCGCAUAAGUAGGCGAUUCAAGUGCCGCUGCAUGAAGCAGAGAGUAACAAAACGUGAAACAGAGCACAAAAAGAGCAAGCCACGUGGUGGAUGAGAAGGGCACAUAAGGAAGCCGAGUUUACGAGAUGAUUGUCCUGCGGGCCCUAUUCAUUUGACAUGGAAUCUCCAGGUGGAUCUCUAUUGUAGAUUAUUGCGCCAUUGUCCAUUGUCGCAAUCCGCCACAACUGGUCGUAAGUGGAAAAAGGCAAAGAAAGAAAAAGACGGUGGUGUCACUUUAACAUGCUCGAAAUAAUUAAAAUUAUAACCAGUGCAAGAAGAGUAAAGUCUUCAUUAACCCUUAUCUUACGAGGUGGCCCCAUUGGAUCCAUACUGAAUCUUUCAACGCUCGUGUUAUACUUAAUAGAACAAUUUAUUAUCUUACUUUAAAUAAGAAUAAUACAAGACUGAUCAUUAUUAGUUUCGAUUUAAAAAAAGAGUGAACAUGAGGGAUCAAACAUCAAAAAGAUAUAAUAAAAAUGUUUUUAAAAUUAAUGAGUUUCAUUUCAUUAUAUUUUACAUGUUAUCCUUUGAAAGCAAGUCUAGUGGAACCACAUAUUAAAAGCGCAACUUUCUUCACCUCGUAAGUUAAGGGUUAAUUAUCAAUGAUAUAUAAUUUAAUGUAUUAAAUGUAUUGUUACUACAAUAUAUUCAAAGUUUAAAUUAAUUUUUUAAUGAUUAAAAAAUAUAUAUAGUAAAAAAAAGUACUGAACAAAUUGGAGCAAAACAAAUGCACGUAUUACGAACACAAG